rnacentral:rRNA from 1 species
GACGAACGCUGGCGGCGUGCCUAAUACAUGCAAGUAGGACGAGUUGCGAACGGUUGAGUAACGCGUGGUAACCUACCUAUUUGAGGGGGAUAACUACUGGAAACGGUAGCUAAUACCGCAUACCAUCGGAUGUGCCCAGAUGGGAUUAGCUAGUGGGUGGGGUAACGGCUCACCUAGGCUACUAUCCCUAGCUGGUCUGAGAGGAUGACCAGCCACAUUGGAACUGAGACACGGUCCAGACUCCUACGGGAGGCAGCAGGGGGGAAUAGUGCACAAGGGGCGCAAGCCUGAUGCAGACAUGCAGGGUGUAUGAAGAAGGCCUUCGGGUUGUAAAGAACUUUCAGCGAGGAGGAGUUACUCGAAGAAGAAGCACCGGCUAACUCCGUGCCAGAAGCCGCGGUAAUUC